GAUGAACGUUGGCGGCGUGCUUAACACAUGCAAGUCGAACGGAAAGGCUCCUGCUUGCAGGGGUACUCGAGUGGCGAACGGGUGAGUAACACGUGGGUGAUCUGCCCAGCACUUCGGGAUAAGCCUGGGAAACUGGGUCUAAUACCGGAUAGGACGAUGGUUUGGAUGCCAUUGUGGAAAGUUUUUUCGGUGUGGGAUGAGCUCGCGGCCUAUCAGCUUGUUGGUGGGGUAAUGGCCUACCAAGGCGUCGACGGGUAGCCGGCCUGAGAGGGUGUACGGCCACAUUGGGACUGAGAUACGGCCCAGACUCCUACGGGAGGCAGCAGUGGGGAAUAUUGCACAAUGGGCGCAAGCCUGAUGCAGCGACGCCGCGUGGGGGAUGACGGCCUUCGGGUUGUAAACUCCUUUCGCUAGGGACGAAGCGCAAGUGACGGUACCUGGAGAAGAAGCACCGGCUAACUACGUG
rnacentral:rRNA from 1 species